CCUACGGGAGGCAGCAGUGAGGAAUAUUGGUCAAUGGACGAGAGUCUGAACCAGCCAAGUAGCGUGAAGGAUGACUGCCCUAUGGGUUGUAAACUUCUUUUAUAUGGGAAUAAAUUGUUCCAUGUGUGGGAUUUUGUAUGUACCAUAUGAAUAAGGAUCGGCUAACUCCGUGCCAGCAGCCGCGGUAAUACGGAGGAUCCGAGCGUUAUCCGGAUUUAUUGGGUUUAAAGGGAGCGUAGGUGGAUUGUUAAGUCAGUUGUGAAAGUUUGCGGCUCAACCGUAAAAUUGCAGUUGAAACUGGCAGUCUAGAGUACAGUAGAGGUGGGCGGAAUUCGUGGUGUAGCGGUAAAAUGCUUAGAUAUCACGAAGAAUUCCGAUUGCGAAGGCAGUUCACUAGACUGCAACUGACGCUGAGGCUCGAAAGUGUGGGUAGCAAACAGGAUUAGAUACCCGUGUAGUC
rnacentral:rRNA from 1 species